AUUGUUGCCAUAGACAUGCGAGGUCUAAUUUUUUUUGCUCUUAUCACUGCUUCGGUUGAUGCAGACAUCGAAGAAUGCAUGAAUAAUCCAGUUAAAAUAACAUGUUGUGAAGAUGAUCUAGCUUCAGAAGAAGUAUCAGAAUCGGUUCAUGAAUGCUUCAACUUGAAAAAUACAGAAAACUGUGAACGAGAGGUCUGCAUCGCAAAGGAAAAAGGGGUUCUCACUGCAAAUAGCAC